AGGAUGAAGACGGUGUGUGUUUUGGCGUGUCUUCUUGUCGUUUGUGGAGCACUUUCCUCCGACCUAGGCGUUGCAGUGGAGUUGAAAGAACGCCUCUGCACAUGCGUAGUCCGCUGCUGUCCUUUUACUGGCCCAUCAAUCCUCAAAAGAAGUGUGGCCCAAGCUUUCUCAGACAUGGCCCACAUUCGACACAAGCGAUGUUGUCGUUGCACUAACUGCAAUCAGGCUUCUUAGUUUAUUUCAUGAGUGUGGUUUAGUACCGUUGUAGCAGGGAGACUCUAUACGUUGUAGAGUAUCCCUGGUUGUAGCUUAGGGGUUAAAGCGUUCGCUCGUCACGCCGAACACUAAGGUUCGAUUUUCCACAUGGUAGUUUCUGGUGAUAUUGCUGGAAUAUUGCUAAAAGCGGCGUAAAACUAUAUUCACAACUGUGUGAUAGGUUUACACUGUAAACAUAGUUUGUGUUCGAUUGUGUAUAAAACAUUAUAACAUUAUCAAAUGUUGAACGCCAUUACGAGUACACAGUAGGAUGCAUGACAUGUCAAUGCAGUGCUGGUGGCGAUAGUCGCAGUUACACGAAAUUACGUAAAGAUUCAUAUUACUAGUACUGGAAAUUAUUAACAGAUUUGCAUGAAAGUAAUUUUGAUUUACACGAACUUGAUACGUUUUUCGUCCAGCCUGAUUCGUUUUAAACCAAAUCCUGAAAUUCGAAUAUAACAAAACGAAAGAUGAUUCUCACCGUUAUGUUUUAGUCUUUUAGAGGCGGUGGGUAGCCUGAUGGUUCAAGCGUUCGCUCGUCACUCCGAGACCCGGGUUCAAUUUCCCACAUGGGUACAAUGUGAGGAAACCAUUUCUGGUGCCCACCGCCGUAAUAUUGCUGGAAUUUUGCUAAAAGCGGCGUAAAACUGAAGUCACACACUCAUUUGUUCCCGCUUGGUCACGAGCGUCAGGUAUCACCCUUACAUUGAUAUGUGUUCCGUUGUUCUUCGUACGGGUUUGUUGCCGAAUGUAUGUACAUGAAUGGUUUAUGAUAUAAACUGUUGAAUGGCCUGCAGAGGCUAGUUUGAGCUGAAAUGUCGUCAGUAUAUAUUCACUUUAAUUUGUGUACAUGUAAGUGUCAAUCAGCAGAAAAUAAAUUGUGGAAUACGG